AAUACCGCAUAACGUCGCAAGACCAAAGUGGGGGACCUUCGGGCCUCAUGCCAUCAGAUGUGCCCAGAUGGGAUUAGCUAGUAGGUGGGGUAACGGCUCACCUAGGCGACGAUCCCUAGCUGGUCUGAGAGGAUGACCAGCCACACUGGAACUGAGACACGGUCCAGACUCCUACGGGAGGCAGCAGUGGGGAAUAUUGCACAAUGGGCGCAAGCCUGAUGCAGCCAUGCCGCGUGUGUGAAGAAGGCCUUCGGGUUGUAAAGCACUUUCAGCGGGGAGGAAGGCGAUAAGGUUAAUAACCUUGUCGAUUGACGUUACCCGCAGAAGAAGCACCGGCUAACUCCGUGCCAGCAGCCGCGGUAAUACGGAGGGUGCAAGCGUUAAUCGGAAUUACUGGGCGUAAAGCGCACGCAGGCGGUCUGUCAAGUCGGAUGUGAAAUCCCCGGGCUCAACCUGGGAACUGCAUUCGAAACUGGCAGGCUAGAGUCUUGUAGAGGGGGGUAGAAUUCCAGGUGUAGCGGUGAAAUGCGUAGAGAUCUGGAGGAAUACCGGUGGCGAAGGCGGCCCCCUGGACAAAGACUGACGCUCAGGUGCGAAAGCGUGGGGAGCAAACAGGAUUAGAUACCCUGGUAGUCCACGCCGUAAACGAUGUCGAUUUGGAGGUUGUGCCCUUGAGGCGUGGCUUCCGGAGCUAACGCGUUAAAUCGACCGCCUGGGGAGUACGGCCGCAAGGUUAAAACUCAAAUGAAUUGACGGGGGCCCGCACAAGCGGUGGAGCAUGUGGUUUAAUUCGAUGCAACGCGAAGAACCUUACCUGGUCUUGACAUCCACAGAACUUUCCAGAGAUGGAUUGGUGCCUUCGGGAACUGUGAGACAGGUGCUGCAUGGCUGUCGUCAGCUCGUGUUGUGAAAUGUUGGGUUAAGUCCCGCAACGAGCGCAACCCUUAUCCUUUGUUGCCAGCGGUCCGGCCGGGAACUCAAAGGAGACUGCCAGUGAUAAACUGGAGGAAGGUGGGGAUGACGUCAAGUCAUCAUGGCCCUUACGACCAGGGCUACACACGUGCUACAAUGGCAUAUACAAAGAGAAGCGACCUCGCGAGAGCAAGCGGACCUCAUAAAGUAUGUCGUAGUCCGGAUUGGAGUCUGCAACUCGACUCCAUGAAGUCGGAAUCGCUAGUAAUCGUAGAUCAGAAUGCUACGGUGAAUACGUUCCCGGGCCUUGUACACACCGCCCGUCACACCAUGGGAGUGGGUUGCAAAAGAAGUAGGUAGCUUAACCUUCGGGAGGGCGCUUACCACUUUGUGAUUCAUGACUGGGGUGAAGUCGUAACAAGGUAACCGUAGGGGAACCUGCGGUUGGAUCACCU
rnacentral:rRNA from 1 species